rnacentral:sRNA from 1 species
CGAUUUGCUGCGGACAUAUAAAAUGAAUAUGGCUAUCAAAGCCACCCGCUGUUAAGAUUUUACCUUCUGCUGCGAUUAUUUCCGUGCCUGGGCCAAUAACAAUAUCAACAUUUGGUUGGGUAUCAGGAUUUCCUGCUUUGCCAAUCUUCAAAAUGCGACCAUCCAUUAAACCAACAUCUGCCUUGUAUAUACCGCUGUAAUCUACAACCAGCGCGUUGGUGAGCACCGUAUCUACGGCGCCUUGCGAGCGUGUGGCUUGUGAUUGCCCCAUGCCAUCCCG